UGGGGAAUCUUGGACAAUGGGCGCAAGCCUGAUCCAGCGACGCCGCGUGGGUGAAGAAGGCCUUAGGGUUGUAAAGCUCUUUUGGCGGGGAUGAUAAUGACAGUACCCGCAGAAUAAGCCCCGGCUAACUUCGUGCCAGCAGCCGCGGUAAUACGAAGGGGGCUAGCGUUGUUCGGAAUUACUGGGCGUAAAGCGCACGUAGGCGGAUUAGUAAGUUAGGGGUGAAAUCCCGGGGCUCAACCUCGGAACUGCCCUUGAUACUGCUGGUCUGGAGUCCGAGAGAGGUGAGUGGAAUUCCUAGUGUAGAGGUGAAAUUCGUAGAUAUUAGGAAGAACACCAGUGGCGAAGGCGGCUCACUGGCUCGGUACUGACGCUGAGGUGCGAAAGCGUGGGGAGCAAACAGGAUUAGAUACCCCGGUAGUCC
rnacentral:rRNA from 1 species